UCUCGAUAGUGUAACAGUUAACUCAAAUUUGUAUGGAGUUGGAACUUUUGCCUACGUUUGCCGGUGGGGGCAUUGUUCGAACUGCAUACAUAUUUGAGUUAACUUUUACGCUAUCGA
rnacentral:pre_miRNA from 9 species